GACGAACGCUGGCGGCGUGCUUAACACAUGCAAGUCGAACGGAAAGGCCCUGCUUUUGUGGGGUGCUCGAGUGGCGAACGGGUGAGUAACACGUGAGUAACCUGCCCUUGACUUUGGGAUAACUUCAGGAAACUGGGGCUACUACCGGAUAGGAGCUCCUGCUGCAUGGUGGGGGUUGGAAAGUUUCGGCGGUUGGGGAUGGACUCGCGGCUUAUCAGCUUGUUGGUGGGGUAGUGGCUUACCAAGGCUUUGACGGGUAGCCGGCCUGAGAGGGUGACCGGCCACAUUGGGACUGAGAGACGGCCCAGACUCCUACGGGAGGCAGCAGUGGGGAAUAUUGCACAAUGGGCGGAAGCCUGAUGCAGCAACGCCGCGUGCGGGAUGACGGCCUUCGGGUUGUAAACCGCUUUCGCCUGUGACGAAGCGUGAGUGACGGUAAUGGGUAAAGAAGCACCGGCUAACUACGUG
rnacentral:rRNA from 1 species